rnacentral:tRNA from 1 species
GGAAGGGUGCGUGAGCGGUUGAAACGGGCGGUCUUGAAAACCGCUAGAGGGUUACACCUCUCGUGGGUUCGAAUCCCACCCCUUCCG